AGCUGCACUGUCGAAACUCAAGGUGGGCGAAGAUAGCAAACCAGAACAGCUGACGAGCGAAUCUAUCAUCAAGAAAGAUUAAGGCUAUGAAAUCGGUAUCGGCGAUCACGAAUCGGGAGACGAAAAAAUACAACCGACGUGGUGGUUACUACAACCGUGGUCUGCACAACUAUCGCAAUCAUAAUCAAUACCACGGAGGUAACAACUACAAUCGAGGAGGAUGCCCGAACAACAACAACGGCAAUCGCCAGAGCAACGGCUAACAGUUACACACAGGAAGUUACAAUUCCAUUAACGUUAAGUAAACUGCUCAAAACUUUGACUAGUUUAAUCAGACGGUGUCCAGAACAACAUCGCUAAAUGUAUCAACCAUCGAAACUCAGAAAAUUGCAAAAGCAAUGCACUGAAACUAAUUAACGAUAGCUGUCUGUGUACUCAAAUUUUCAUAUUCAUCAUUCUUAUUGUUUUAAUCCAGAAAUCUUCGGAAUAAAUCAGGGCUUGAACGGAUUAGUUUUAUUAUCCGACUUGAUUAGGUUGACAGUUGACCACCCUCUAUUCACAUCGAUUGGUUAGUUCCUUAUAUUAAUUUGCAAAACUUAUAAUUAUUGAUGUUCCUUUUUUUCAUGUAGGUAUUUUUUAGUGUCAGGUAGUAAGUUAGUGAAAAUGUAUUAUUCAUGUAUAUUAACUUAGCUAUAAUGUAAUAAUU